rnacentral:rRNA from 1 species
ACGUCAAGUCCUCAUGGCCCUUACGCGCUGGGCUACACACGUGCUACAAUGGCGGUGACAAUGGGCAGCAAACCCGCGAGGGUGAGCUAAUCUCCAAAAGCCGUCUCAGUUCGGAUUGUUCUCUGCAACUCGAGAGCAUGAAGGCGGAAUCGCUAGUAAUCGUGGAUCAGCAUGCCACGGUGAAUACGUUCCCAGGCCUU